AAAAUAUUUAGACUAUGGAGCUCUUGAAAUACAAUGUUGCCCUGGAUGAUUGUUAUUAUUCACAAAUAUUUCAGAUUCAGGCAGCCAAUCAGAAUUAAGUAUUCCAGAGAUUCGUGCAAUGAAUCUAACUAGUGUUUUGCUCAGUGGCCCCUGACCUCUGCAUUUCUAUUACUGCAGGGAGCUGUGCUGGUGUGACUUUGGGGUCAGAUUUGGCACACUCUCCUUGCUGAUUGGUGGGAAUGAUGUACUCUUGCUUGAAAUCUGUGUAUAGCCAUGAGCAGAAAACUGAAAUCUGUGUACUGCUUAAUUAUUAAUAAGAGACAAAGUGUGAGCUGCACAAACCCCUUUGUUUUCCAUAUCAGCAUCUUAGAUUCUCUUGCAAAUCCCUCUGUUUCUGUCUUGACAGAUGUCUUUGUUUCACACAGUGCCAGCUGCUCUUUCAAACUACGUUAGUCUCUUUUUCUCAAGCUGACCUGUAAGACUACACAGACAUGCCGAGGCUGUCCUGAGUCACUCUUCUUCACAGUGCAUUUUGUCUCUGCAUGGCUCCUUUCACAGCCAUUGUCGCCCCCUCACCUCAGAGUCGGACAGCUCAGCCCAAACACCGCUCAUCUCUGCCUCCAUGUUCUGUCCGCUCUGAAUCGCCCACACAGUGUCUGCAGGUUGACACACUGAGCCGGUGAGUACGAUCGCUAAGGGAUGUCAUCUCCCACCCGAAAGUCACACCACGGGCCCUUCAGAGACACUGAAGCCUCUCUAUGCUCAUGUGUGCAUGUAACAUGUGACAUACCACAACAUCUACAACAUGUUCCUCUGCCAGUCACCCUGUCCCUGGCUGUCUCAUACCUUCACCUUUCAUUACAUCAUCAUGACUCCCAGCACUUUUCCUGUAAUCUCAUCUUGAAUGACUUCACUCAAUCUUCUCUUCAUCCCUCACUCUGAUUCUCGACGGAGUUUCCGCCAGUGUCUCUCUCGCUCUCUCAGAGCGGAUGCUCGUCGCCAGACCCAGGCUUUGGGAUUAUGCAAAUUUAGCUCCAGCCUGUUCACACCUGGAUGCAAUGGGGCAUGAAACAGGGAGUGCACUCGCUGCAAAACUUUUCACUUUUUUCAUUCAGAGAGGGGGGAGAAAAUCUUAUUUUGCUUUUUUAAAAGAACUCAAUGUUCCUUCUUUAUAUUGUUAAAUGUUUUACUUUAUUUAAAAGAGCCACAAUAAGAUUUAAAUAGCACUGAGUUUCUCUAUAUAGUCUUGCUUUGUUUGAGUUAAUAAAAUAUGGAGACACAACCCAUACUGUGUGCUAAUGAUUUUUAUGCUGCUGGAUAUUGUUCAGGCACUCCAUAUCAAUAAUAUGAUAAAAAAAAUCUG